rnacentral:rRNA from 1 species
AUACGUAGGAUCCGAGCGUUGUCCGGAUUUACUGGGUGUAAAGGGCGUGUAGGUGGACCUUUAAGUCGAUGGUGAAAUCCUGCGGCUCAACCGCAGAAUUGCUUUCGAAACUGGAGGUCUUGAGUGCGGCAGAGGGAGAUGGAAUUCAUGGUGUAGCGGUGAAAUGUGUAGAUAUCAUGAAGAACACCGGUAGCGAAGGCGGUCUCCUGGUCCGCAACUGACACUGAGGCGCGAAAGCGUGGGGAGCAAACAGGAUUAGAUACCCUGGUAGUCCACGCCUUAAACGAUGGGUACUCGGUGCUGGCCCGCGAGGGUCAGUGCCUAAGUUAACGCAUUAAGUACCCCACCUGGGGAGUACGAUCGCAAGGUUGAA